rnacentral:tRNA from 1 species
GGAGGGAUGGCAGAGUGGUUGAUUGCAGCGGUCUUGAAAACCGUCGAGCGCGAAUAACGUUCCGAGAGUUCGAAUCUCUCUCCCUCCGCCA